rnacentral:rRNA from 1 species
CCCUUAGAUGUCCUGGGCGGCCCGCGCGCUACAAUGUCAGCUACUGAAGGUUAAUGCUUUGAAAGAGAGCGCGCUCUCCUUUUAAUUGCUCGCAUGCUGGGAUAAAUGAAUGCAAUUUUGUUUUGAACGAGGAAUUCCUAGUAGCCAUGCUUCACUAGAAGAUGGCGAAUGCGUCCCUGCCCUUUGUACACACCGCCCGUCGCUCCUACCGAUGAGCGUUUUGGCGAAGACGGUUUGAGUAGCUGCGUAAUUUCGUGUUGUUGACUCCGGCAGUUUGAGCCUUCACGUUUAGAGGAAGGAGAAGUCGUAACA